ensembl:lncRNA
AGUUUGGCCAACAGUUUUACUUGCUGGUGUUCGUUAUUUUUUUCAUGUUUCAAAGUUGUUCUCAUCAGCGAUUGGUUGAAAUCUAGUCAUGUGAUUGAUGCAAGAUCCAAAUUAGGGAUUGAAACCAAACUGACCUUAAUAACGGCGUUAAGUGAUACUGAAUGCCGUAAAUUACGGCGCUUAUUGACAUCAGCGACUUCGGCUUACAGGGGAAACAGCGUUUUGGAUGGCGGGUUACUGGGGAACGGCGUAUUUUGCAUGUCAUUUGACGCCGUAAUGUGUCAUUAUUUGACUCACUUGGCCUUACAUAAGCGUUGCUAACAGGCGAACACGCUUAUUUAACAGACGCGGACGUAUGCUUAACAGCCGUAGGCGCUAAACAAUAGCGUUCUGAACGCAUGAAUUCUGACCCCUUUGGCGUUCCAUAGUUUAUGUGCAUAGUAGAAGUGUUGGUAGGAUCCGACAUAGACAUCAUAUAUAAAGGCUAGACGUCUAAUGGCGCAGUCACUUCCGGCAUCACUGGUGGCCAUCUUGUCACAGGCAGGCUUCCUGGCGGGCUCUGUGGUACCUGAUGUAAGGUUCAGCGAGGACCACUUGGAGCUUCUCUUCAACUCCAUCAGAGCAUCUGGUAGGGUUCAUAAUUUAUAUUUACCAGCUGCAACACUAAGGGACACAGUGUCAGCAAAUGCUUGUAUUGUUUUCAGUUUGUCGGUCCAUAUGUUUUUUUUUUACUUUUGGUAACAUGUUUUCUGAAGACAUACACCCUAACCCUAAGACAUACACAAUACCUGGAAGUGUCACAAACCAUUUUGAGUAUUUAGAAAAAUGCCUGUGUUUGACUAUUUGUUUGCAGAACUUAUCACUGAUACAGUCUGAAUUGUAUGAUAAUGUCAUUCAACCUAUUUUAUGUGGAAAGAUCUUUCAGGGGUGGCUAGUUCUAAUUAGUCUUUUUUUGUAAAAAUGUUUUAAGCAAAAACAUUUUAAAGCAUGUAUUGAAUAUCUGUGUACUAUACUUGUAUCUUUUUUAUUCAUUUAUUUAUUUAUUUUUUUAAAUGAUGGCUGGAAUAACAACCCUAAUGCCAGCCAGUUCAAGUACAUCUUUAGGCUGUAAAGCUGAUUGCCUCUGCAUGGUUUAACAACCCCACACUGGGCCAUGUGACGGCACAGGAUGACACAGAGUCCCUACCAGCUGUCAUCGACACCUCUACAAGCUUGUCAGCUGUAGAUGUGUCCUCUGCAGCAGGAGGAGAAGAUCUUCCAUCCCCGUUUGCUGACAUUUCUGCCCUAGUACAUGAUCACAGCUACCUUCCCUGUCCACUUUGAUGGUCUUGUGGACAACGCUGUCAUGUACAUUUCAGGAUUUGUUGUGCGACAGGCUCUGAAGAAGCUGUCGUGUGAUGUCUGCCGUGCCAGCCUGGUGACAGAUGCUGCAUCUGCCAUCAAGGACCAGAGAUACCACCUGCUGACUUUAAAAACAAUGGAGGUCUGGUGAUUCCAUCAGAGGGAACCGUGAGGGUCGUCAGGGCAGCACAGUGGGUCAUUCGGCAGUCAUCAGGCAGUACCAGACAAUCACAGCCCAUCAAACUGCUUGAGGUUGUUUACAUUGUCUGAAAAAGGAUCGGUUCAGAGGAUGUUUGUGUUGGGAUAGACAGCCAGCACUAUAGGCUGUUAAAAAUAAUUCUGUCCCUGUUUUUUAAGUUAAAGCUGCACCACAUCGUCAGAAUUACAAUCCUCAGCUUACAGAGCAACAACAUGCAACAGAAACCUAAUAAAACUGUCCUUUUCAAAGGGCAUUAGCCCAAGGUAUGUGUUUUCAAGGUACUGUCCUCUUUUACUUCAACAGUAGUGUAGUUCUCUCUACAGCAUUUCUUUUUUGGAUAUUUGUAAAGGGG